rnacentral:rRNA from 1 species
AUUGAACGCUGGCGGCAGGCUUAACACAUGCAAGUCGAACGAGCGGCGGACGGGUGAGUAAUGUAUGGGAACCUGCCUGAUGGCGGGGGAUAACUACUGGAAACGGUAGCUAAUACCGCAUACCAUCAGAGGGGCCGAGAUGGGAUUAGCUAGUUGGUGGGGUAAAGGCUCACCUAGGCGACGAUCCCUAGCUGGUCUGAGAGGAUGACCAGCCACACUGGGACUGAGACACGGUCCAGACUCCUACGGGAGGCAGCAGUGGGGAAUAUUGGACAAUGGGCGCAAGCCUGAUCCAGCCAUGCCGCGUGUAUGAUGAAGGCCUUCGGGUUGUAAAGCACUUUCGGCGGGGAAGCGGUACCCGCAGAAGAAGCACCGGCUAACUCCGUGCCAGCCGCCGCGGUAAUAC